rnacentral:rRNA from 1 species
CUAGCCUGCUCACUGAUAAUUGUAUUAAAUAGCCGCGGUAUACUGACCGUGCAAAGGUAGCAUAAUCAUUAGUUCUUUAAUUGAGAACUCGUAUGAAUGGUUGGACAAAGAAAAGACUGUCUCUUUUGUUAAAAUCGAAUUUAACUUUUAAGUGAAAAGGCUUAAAUCUUUCAAGGGGACGAUAAGACCCUAUAAAGCUUUAUAAAUUUAACAAUUUUAUAUGUAUUUACGUACUUAUAAUUUUUUAACUAUUUAUUUGGUUGGGGAGACAAAAGUAUAAUUAAAAUAACUGCUAUUUAAAAGUUACAGAAAUGCUUGAUUAAUUCUCAUUAAUUGAUCCUUUAUAAAGAUUUAAAGAUCAAGUUACUUUAGGGAUAACAGCGUUAUUUUUUCUGAGAGUCCUUAUCAAAGAAAAAGUUUGCGACCUCGAUGUUGAAUUAAAAUACCUUUAUAGUGCAGCAGCUUUAAAAGGAGGUCUGUUCGACCUUUAAUAUUUUACAUGAUUUGAGUUCAGACCGGCGAGAGCCAGGUCGGUUUCUAUCUCUUGGAGAAAAAGAACUUAUCUUAGUACGAAAGGAUUAGAUAGGUAAAAAUAUUUUACAGGUUGGAAU